rnacentral:misc_RNA from 1 species
UCAAACUUGGUCAUUUAGAGGAAGUAAAAGUCGUAACAAGGUUUCCGUAGGUGAACCUGCGGAAGGAUCAUUAAUAAUCUUUUUAAACUCUUCAUUUUUGGGGGGGUUCAUUUGUAUUCAAAUUCCACUCUUAAAAAUUUAACCUUAUUAUAUAAUACAUGUGAUAAUACAUGAUAAAAAGACAACUUUCAACAACGGAUCUCUUGGCUGUGUAUAAGAGACAGUCAAACUUGGUCAUUUAGAGGAAGUAAAAGUCGUAACAAGGUUUCCGUAGGUGAACCUGCGGAAGGAUCAUUAAUAAUCUUUUUAAACUCUUCAUUUUUGGGGGGGUUCAUUUGUAUUCAAAUUCCACUCUUAAAAAUUUAACCUUAUUAUAUAAUACAUGUGAUAAUACAUGAUAAAAAGACAACUUUCAACAACGGAUCUCUUGGCUCUCGCAUCGAUGAAGAACGCAGC